CAGACUAUGCAGAUGGGAGUGAAGACAAAGUAGUAGAAGUAGCAGAGGAGGAAGAAGUGGCUGAGGUGGAAGAAGAAGAAGCCGAUGAUGACGAGGACGAUGAGGAUGGUGAUGAGGUAGAGGAAGAGGCUGAGGAACCCUACGAAGAAGCCACAGAGAGAACCACCAGCAUUGCCACCACCACCACCACCACCACAGAGUCUGUGGAAGAGGUGGUUCGAGAGGUGUGCUCUGAACAAGCCGAGACGGGGCCAUGCCGAGCAAUGAUCUCCCGCUGGUACUUUGAUGUGACUGAAGGGAAGUGUGCCCCAUUCUUUUACGGCGGAUGUGGCGGCAACCGGAACAACUUUGACACAGAAGAGUACUGCAUGGCCGUGUGUGGCAGCGUCAUGUCCCAAAGUUUACUCAAGACUACCCAGGAACCUCUUGCCCGAGAUCCUGUUAAACGUACGUUGUCAUUCACCUGAGGGAAGGGAAGAGGGGAGGAGGAUGCUGCUUGGUUCACAUAACUCCAGCAUCAUCACCUUCUUUGCAUGGUUUUGUGUUUCUUGAACACCUGUCUUAGUAAAAUGUUUCUUCCCAUUACCUUGCUUGUAAUUACAUCUGAUUUUGCCAGACA
rnacentral:sRNA from 1 species